UGGUGUAUCCAUUGAACUGUCCGCUCGGCCAACUCCUCAUUGAACGUUCCAUGCGUUUGCGUGGGAUGGUAGAUGGUUCCUGUGUUGUCUACCGCGUUGACGGUAUAAAAUGUCUUGAUGGUUGCACCUCUAUACAUUGCCUCUCGGGGUAGUGCAUGGACAUCGUAGUAGUCCCCGUGUACCGCACAUUGCGCCUAACAACGGUUGAUGUGACGGGCCAUGGGAGCCUGCUCGAUCUCUUGGAUGCGGAACAUUUCGGUUGCACACGGCCUCAAAGCCUAUAUGUGCGUGCUAUUCUAUGCUUCGAUCGAAUGACGCUCAUGCUUGCUAAAUGUUCCUCACUGGCCUUGUGCUUGCGGGGGACGGGGUGAGUGUGACGUCGUCAAUGGAUGCUACCUGGUUGAUCCUGCCAGUAGUCAUAUGCUUGUCUCAAAGAUUAAGCCAUGCAUG
rnacentral:misc_RNA from 1 species